GCAGGGAAUUUUGCGCAAUGGGCGAAAGCCUGACGCAGCAACGCCGCGUGGGGGAUGAAGGCCUUCGGGUUGUAAACCCCUUUCAGGAGGGAAGAAAUUGACGGUACCUCCAGAAGAAGCACCGGCCAACUACGUGCCAGCAGCCGCGGUAAUACGUAGGGUGCGAGCGUUAUCCGGAAUCAUUGGGCGUAAAGAGCUCGUAGGCGGUUCAACAAGUCGGCUGUGAAAUUCCGGGGCUCAACCCCGGAACUGCAGUCGAAACUGUUGUGACUCGAGUCCGGUAGAGGAGAAUGGAAUUCCCGGUGUAGCGGUGGAAUGCGCAGAUAUCGGGAGGAACACCAGUAGCGAAGGCGGUUCUCUGGGCCGGCACUGACGCUGAGGAGCGAAAGCGUGGGGAGCAAACAGGAUUAGAAACCCCAGUAGUCC
rnacentral:rRNA from 1 species